GAUGAACGCUAGCGGGAGGCCUAACACAUGCAAGCCGAGCGGGAUUUGUUGGUUAGCUUGCUAACUAACGAUGAGAGCGGCGUACGGGUGCGGAACAUGUGUGCAAUCUGCCCUUAUCAAGGGGAUAGCCCAGAGAAAUCUGGAUUAAUACCCUAUAACAUAUGGGAUGGCAUCAUUUCAUAUUAAAAGCUACGGCGGAUAAGGAUGAGCACGCACAAGAUUAGCUAGUUGGUAAGGUAACGGCUUACCAAGGCGACGAUCUUUAGGGGGCCUGAGAGGGUGAUCCCCCACACUGGGACUGAGACACGGCCCAGA
rnacentral:rRNA from 1 species